rnacentral:lncRNA from 1 species
GGACACUUUUGCCCUUAGAAUAUUCUAGUAAAGGAAAAGUUGACUUUUUGACCGAGAAAGAAUUUGACUACUCCACUUGCAUCGUUGCGUAGGGCGCAACGAAACGAGUCCGUAGACACGGAGUGGACUCGAAUCGGAGUUGUAACGAAGAAAAUACGGUCAAAAUACUUAGAAGGGCAAAACGGUAAUUUUGAAAUCAAAAUUUAAAAAAAAAAAACAAAACUGACUCUCUCUCUCUUCCCUCACUCUUCUUCCUCACGACCACAGCUCCCCCUGUUUUUUUUUCUUUCUAAUCGUCACCUUCAAACCUCCAUAACAGCCGCCACAGUCCACUCCAACCAACGGGACCGGACCCAAUCGAACCACCGCCGCUUCCUCUUCCUUUCCCGACCGAUCCCUGCCCUUGGAACUGCUGUUUUU